rnacentral:rRNA from 1 species
AACGAACGCUGGCGGCAUGCCUAACGCAUGCAAGUCGAACGAGACCUUCGGGUCUAGUGGCGCACGGGUGCGUAACGCGUGGGAACCUGCCCUUAGGUUCGGAAUAACUCCCCGAAAGGGGUGCUAAUACCGGAUAAUGUCUUCGGACCAAAGAUUUAUCGCCUUUGGAUGGGCACGCGUUGGAUUAGCUAGUUGGUAGGGUAAAAGCCUAUCAAGGCGACGAUCCAUAGCUGGUCUGAGAGGAUGAUCAGCCACACUGGGACUGAGACACGGCCCAGACUCCUACGAGGAGCAGCAGUAGAGAAUAUUGGACAAUGGGCGAAAGCCUGAUCCAGCAAGGCCGCGUGAGUGAUGAAGGCCUGAGGGUUGUAAAGCUCUUUUACCCGGGAUGAUAAUGACGGUACCGGGAGAAUAAGCGCCGGCUAACUCCGUG